rnacentral:rRNA from 1 species
GAUGAACGCUGGCGGCGUGCCUAAUACAUGCAAGUCGAGCGAACGGACGAGAAGCUUGCUUCUCUGAUGUUAGCGGCGGACGGGUGAGUAACACGUGGAUAACCUACCUAUAAGACUGGGAUAACUUCGGGAAACCGGAGCUAAUACCGGAUAAUAUUUUGAACCGCAUGGUUCAAAAGUGAAAGACGGUCUUGCUGUCACUUAUAGAUGGAUCCGCGCUGCAUUAGCUAGUUGGUAAGGUAACGGCUUACCAAGGCAACGAUGCAUAGCCGACCUGAGAGGGUGAUCGGCCACACUGGAACUGAGACCCGGUCCAGACUCCUACGGGAGGCAGCAGUAGGGAAUCUUCCGCAAUGGGCGGAAGCCUGACGGAGCAACGCCGCGUGGGUGAUGAAGGUCUUCGGAUCGUAAAACUCUGUUAUUAGGGAAGAACAUAUGUGUAAGUAACUGUGCACAUCUUGACGGUACCUAAUCAGAAAGCCACGGCUAACUACGUG